rfam:Schistosoma haematobium scaffold423_27, whole genome shotgun sequence.
GCACUGCUGAGGAGUCCCACAGUAGGACGAAACGAUUGUUCAGUGC